rnacentral:rRNA from 1 species
GACGAACGCUGGCGGCGUGCUUAACACAUGCAAGUCGAGCGGUAAGGCCCUUUCGGGGGUACACGAGCGGCGAACGGGUGAGUAACACGUGGGUGACCUGCCCUCAGCUCUGGGAUAAGCCUGGGAAACCGGGUCUAAUACCGGAUAUGACUCCAUGACGCAUGUUGUGGGGUGGAAAGCCUUGUGCGGCUGAGGAUGGGCCCGCGGCCUAUCAGCUUGUUGGUGGGGUGAUGGCCUACCAAGGCGACGACGGGUAGCCGGCCUGAGAGGGCGACCGGCCACACUGGGACUGAGACACGGCCCAGACUCCUACGGGAGGCAGCAGUGGGGAAUCUCGCGCAAUGGGCGAAAGCCUGACGCAGCGACGCCGCGUGAGGGAUGACGGCCU